GGAGUGCAGUCAUUUUGGGGGCAAGUGAGGUUACAGAUCACAUUUACAGCACAGGAGGAGGCCAUUUUGGUCCUCAUCAUGCUGCUGUUAUGGCCACCCAAACUAAUUCUGCUUUCUAGCUCUUAGAUCAUAGCCUUGAAGGUUACUGCACUUUUUAAGUAGUCUUUACGGUUUUGCCUCUACCAUCUCUGGCAGUGAUUUCCAGGCCCCCAGUCAGCCUCUGGUUUGAGAAGGUUAAUGUCAAAUGUCCCCUCAAUCUCUUACCUAUCACUCUAAAUCUGUGGACUGGUUAUGGAUCGCUCAACAAGAGGAAUAGAGUAUGUAUUCUAUAGAAUCCCCACAGUGUGGAUGCAGGCCAUUUGGCCCAUCAAGUCUACAUUAACCCUCAAGAGGAUCCCACCCAGACACUACCUCAUCCCAGUAACCCUACGUUUCUUAUGGCCAGGAGAUCUUUGGACUGAGGGGGGGGGGGGGAAAAGGCCCAGAGCACCAGGAAGAAACCCACUCGGAGGGUGACUGUGCAAACUCUACAUAGUAUCCCGAGGGUAGAAUUGAACCCGAGUUCCCUGGUGUUAUGAGGUGGCAGUGCUAACCACUGAGCCACCAUGCUGCGCUCUCAAACCUCCUAGAACUUCAUGCCUCUCAUCUAGGUUUUCCCUCUGCUGCCUCUGUUCUAAAGAAAUUUGAACCUUUUCUCUCUUGCACCUCCUCAUGCUCUCAGGAAUCUGAGCCAAACUGUAGAAAGCAUUGCUGCCUACCUUGGAGAUACUUGACCAUUAUCCAUUAGAAAUGUACUUUUGAGAUUCAUUAAUUCCUGUAUUCAAAUCUUGCCCAAAUUUUGAAAAGGCCUAGUUUAGACUCCGGUGGAUCCUUGCCUAUUUAAAUAGUGUGCACACUGUUGUUAACUUCCGGCCAGGAUAAUACACAUGUCAGCUAGUUUGGUGUUUUAAAAAGGUAAAAACAAUGACUGCAGAUGCUGGAAACCAGAUUCUGGAUUAGUGGUGCUGGAAGAGCACAGCAGUUCAGGCAGCAUCCGAGGAGCUUUGAAAUCGACGUUUCCGAUUUGGUGUUUUACUGUGCAACUCUUUGUUCCUUCUCCUCAGGAAAUGUGCACUGAGUGGCCUAUCCAGAACCUGUAAGCAUCGCAUCAAACUGGGGGACUCUGGAAAUUAUUUCUACAUUUCACCAUCCUGCAGGUCCAGGAUUACUGCUGUUUGCAAUUUCUUCACAUAUAUUCGUUAUAUCCAACAAGGUUUAGUCCGACAAGAUGUGGAACAGAUGUACUGGGAAGUGAUGAAGCUGAGGAAGGAAAUGUCUAAUGCUAAACUAGGAUACUACACCGAGGAGUCUUAAUCUCUGGGUUGAUACCCCAGAUUCAGAAUUAAGCUUCAAGUCAAGGGACCAUUCAUUUAAACAAUGGAUUUAAACAAAAUGGAAAAUGCCAUCACAAAUAAGAGCAGGAAAUGAACAGGAAGCAUGGUGAUGUUCCUAGCGUGGAUGAAUGACUGCCUCCGUGACCUGGGCUAUAUUAAAAGUUAUGUUAAAUGCCAAGGCGUGACUAUGGAUAAUAUACAGGGUAAUCUUAUCUCAUUAGCCAUUGAUCAAAGGUCUCGUAAUUUGGAUCUUUGUUGCAACAACCAAGAAUUGUAAAACCACCACAAACCUUUGUGCCUGUUAGGCCUCAGCGGCUUAAUUCCUUUUGGUAAACUGGUAUAAAAUGGAGAAAAGUGGUUCUUGGAGGACCAUUUUGAAGGAAAAGUAAGUUUCUUCCUUUUCGAUGUAAUAAUAGUAGAAAAUUGGACUUCAAGCUAGGGUAUUAAGCCCAGCCAUGAUUGCAGCAAUUUGAUUUUUUUAUUUCCCUUCUCUGAGGUGCUAUUCACCAACUACUUUUUGUUUUGGAAGGAAUACAUGGGUAGGGCCAGUGUUGAGUUGGUUGAAAUAGUCCUGUUACAUCACAUCAGAUAGCAGCAAUGAUGUGGCAGUGAUCUACAGUACAAGUAUAGAGACUAAUCCCUAAACCACCCACCGCCUCCUCCCCCAACUAGAUAGUGGAAAGGCCGCUUACUCCCACAGAAGAGUUCCUCAACAAGCUGGGAAGGAGGGAUUUGGGUGGGGGGGUGGGAUGUGGGGUUGGUGGUGAUAGGUGCAUGAAAUGUCAUCUAUGUUGCACUUGUGCUAGUGCAAGGGAUGCUUAAUUGGAUGAAGGUUUCAUGGAUUACCAUGACUAUGAAGUAUCUCAGUCAAUGAUCUGAUCCUAUCAAUUCCAUGAAUCAUUGAGAUGGCCAUCGUGCUUUCUGCCAGCUCCUGUAACUCUUUGUCACUGUUCCUUUGCACAGUCCCACAAAAUACAUCUUCAACUGUCCAUGCUGUCAUCUUCCAGCUGAGAGCCAUUCGGCUAUGACCUGUUGGUUUGUUUAUGUGCAGUGCAUUCCAUUAUUGUACACAGACUACUCCAUUUUUAGUAUUUAUUGUGUUGGACAGUUUAAACUACCAGCUGAUACUCAGUGAUGUUUCGAAGCAUUGAUUCUGCUUCUGUACGUCUUUAAGCCUUGGCCCUAUACAAACAUGGAAUGUACACUAGCCAUCCAUACUCUUCCGUUCACAUUCCACAGUGUAUCUCUCCUCUUCCACAACCGUACAAUGAUGUUUUUGCAUCCCUUCCUUUUUGGAUGCACUGUCGCCAUGAUGACCAGUCUCCUAAGCAAUAAAUGUUGUGACUAAGUAAUGUCUCCAAAUGCCUCAUUGUGCGACACAGAAUUCUGAGGAUGGGAGCCUAGACUUUCAGUUCUUAAUCUUUGAUUACAAACUGGCUUGAGCCAAGUAUCAUUCUUCUACAUGUUUAACUUGUACUAGAGUAUUAUAAUCACUACAAAAUUCCUUAUAAUCCAUACAUUACUAUUAAAGGAGCACCAUCAAAUGUUUGGCAAACAUUAAUCUGAAAAUUAAUUUAUGCCAAUUUUCAUUCUUGUCUUCAAAGUGAAGUCUCCUGCCAGGGUGAGCAGCAAUUGUUGCCGUCAGCAUUGGACCUAAGUGACUAAUGAGUGAUUGCUGUCAGGCAGUUCAAAUGUCAAGAUUCACAAGGGGCCUGCUCUCCUCCUCUUAACACAGAUAUACUUUCCAGCUGGGGUUGCUGGAUAGUAAUCAGGAGACAGGACUCGUGGCUGUCCAAUCAGUUCUGAAGAAAGGUCGCUGGACCCGAAACACCAACUCUGUUUUCUCUCCACAGAUGCUACCAAACCUGCUGAGUUUCUCCAGCAGUUUUUGCUUUUUGUUUGAUUUUCCAGCAUCCAGUGUGUUUUUUUUUUGUUGUAAAAAUAUCUAAUUGUGUGAGAGCUCAAAUGCCCAAAAAUGACGCAGUAUUUCCUUUCCCCUUUUCCAUACCCUGCAAAAGAGAGGUGUUUGCCAAACACCUUUCCUAAAGGUUGUGCUCCUUUAAACUGCAUGGUGCAUGCUUAAAAUUUUUUUUAAUGACUUUUUUUCAGGUAUCAUUAAUUCCAGUGUUUAUUGUGGGGAAUUGUUCACCACUUGCCAAUCUAAUGAUUACUGGACGUGGGGGAUCCAUGCCUCCCUGAAAAUCAGUUGGAACUUUCCUUCAAUGGGCUGGACUGACUGCAUAGUUGUAUAAAUGUCUAGUACGUUUCUACAAUGUAUGAAUAAAUACUAAUUAUAAAA